rnacentral:rRNA from 1 species
CCAGACUCCUACGGGAGGCAGCAGUGAGGAAUAUUGGUCAAUGGUCGGGAGACUGAACCAGCCAAGCCGCGUGAGGGAUGAAGGUACAGAGUAUCGUAAACCUCUUUUGUCAGGGAACAAAGGCGGGGACGUGUCCCCGGAUGAGUGUACCUGAAGAAAAAGCAUCGGCUAACUCCGUGCCAGCAGCCGCGGUAAUACGGAGGAUGCGAGCGUUAUCCGGAUUUAUUGGGUUUAAAGGGUGCGCAGGCGGAGGUGCAAGUCAGCGGUCAAAUUGCGGGGCUCAACCCCGUACUGCCGUUGAAACUGCAUCCCUUGAGUGCGCGAGAAGUAUGCGGAAUGCGUGGUGUAGCGGUGAAAUGCAUAGAUAUCACGCAGAACUCCGAUUGCGAAGGCAGCAUACCGGCGCGCAACUGACGCUCAUGCACGAAAGCGUGGGUAUCGAACAGGAUUAGAUACCCCUGUA